CAACCAUCAGGCCCCCGGGCCCGUGUUGGGGCACUGCGCGCCAGCCGCGCAGGCCCCCAAAACCAGUGGCGGGCUCGCUGUCGCACCGAGCGUAGUAACAUAUCUCGCUUAGGACGCGCGGCGGGCGCUUGCCGUAAAACACCCCCCUUCUCAA
rnacentral:misc_RNA from 1 species